rnacentral:lncRNA from 1 species
CCUGGGUUGUGUCUGGGUCUUUAUCCAGUCAGACCAGCUGGGGUCUUAUGAAUACAUCUGUUGCUCAGUUUUGAAGUCCAAGGUCAAGGCACCAAAAGAUCUGGUGUCUCACAUGCUGCUGCUGGUUCUGAUGGCACCUGCCCAUGUGCCCUUGGAUGCAGCAGCAAGAGGACAGUGAGCUCUAUGCAUAGAGGCUUGCGUGGGACCCCCUCUUCCAGCCCUGAGAUCUCAUCAGGGCCUGGGGUUUGUCUAGGCUUCGAGGGGCAUAUUCAGUCCAUGACUCAAUGAAGGUGAAAAAGAUCAAAGGCUAGGAAAAAGGACCUGCCCAAGCUUCUCUCAAACUCGUCUGGGAAACCCAUAUAGAGCCCUCCAAAGCCACGUUCUCCCUUCCCCUGCCCCCAUCAGGCCACUGAGGGCCACACUCUCUAGGACUGACAGAGGGUCAGGUAGCCCAUGGGGUUCAGCCUGCUCAGUAGUCACGUGCCUGGACACUUAGCCGCCUCACUAUGGUCAUGACCCGAACUCCACCAGCGCCAACAUGGAGAAGGGCUGUGUCCCUCCCAACCAACAGGUGGCUCUCACACCCACCCAGCUCACUAAGCCAGGGUAGGAGGUGGUGAGGGCUUCACCUUCCUCUGUUCAGCAGAGCCAGGCACAGGUCUGCAGGCCCCGGGUACCUGCCCCUAGGCCUCUGCUUUGAGCAGAGGGGUCCCUGGGUGGCCAGUGUGAACACAUGCAGGACAGCCAUUUGCCCUCAGGCAUGGGGGUGCACAGAGGGCACCUACACCAGGCCACAGCACCCAGACAGGUCAGAAACCUGUGCAGACCCUGGGUGUGGGUGCCCAGCCUUGGGAGCCGGGGCCAGGCUCCUGUCCCCUCCACCCCCAGGCCAGCUUUCUGCUCUCUCCUCAGGCCUCUGUGGGCUCCGAGAAGCUGUUUUCACCAGCAGCUGGGAAAGACCCCGCACACAGCGAGAAGUGGGAGAAUAAGGCUGGGGCAGUGCCCAAGGUGUCGGGCCUGGAGCGCAGCCGUGAGCUCAGCACUGAGACCUUCUUGCCGGCUGCCGCGCCCUCCGGGCUUGCGUGCAGCACCCGUGCCAGCCCCCUGGUGAAGAAGGAAACCCCGGCGCCCCGCCACGCUCCACAGCCGCUGCCCGCACCCCCGCAGCAGCGGGACCCGCUCCCAACGCACGUGCCUCCAUCGCUGAGC